AAAAUCGAGAAAAUCGAGAAAAAUCGAGAAAACUCGUUUAGGCGAUAAAAGCCAUGGAACGAUUAUUCUCGAGACGAGAAUCGCUUCUCGAAGGAUAAAGUCGAACUAUCGAUUCGAUCAAUUUAUCGUUCGUGCAGUGGUGCAAUAGCGUGCAAUUCCGACGAAAAGAGUGCUUUUUAUUGGCAGCGCUGCUCACAGGCAGCACGCGUACGGAAUCUAUUCGCAUUGCCUUUACAACCGCCGUAAACAAAUUGGCUACACGUCUGACGCCCGGCGUCAUAAUACCAGCGUAACACAGAGCCCGGACAAGGGCCGGGAUCUUUCUCCAAGCGGCACACGUCUGUCAGUUUUACUGUAAAUAGCAGAAAAACGAGCGUGAUACGUGCGGAUGUCGAAUAAAAGAAAUUGGAAUGGAUGAGCAUACCUCGUCUCCUUCCUGGUUGCAGGCAUUGUUGGUGACAAGCGAUUUCCGUUGGGAAGUUAUUAUCAUUUCCUUUGCAUCCACCAUACAGGAAUUGCUCGCAAGCUUGUGAUUCUGCAUUGAAGUACCACCUAGUAAAGUUGCCCUCACAGGGACCUGAUUCUUUCGUUUGGUCGCAAGGAUCUAAUGAAAUAUAAUAAAAAAAUAAAGAUUAAUAUUAUAAUUUAGCCUAAAUCUUUUCAAGGAACUUAAAUUGUAUAUCAUUAUAUUUUUAUAUCACAACAAAAUUGAUCAUUGCAUUCAUGCAAUCACAAUGAAAAAAUCACAAAUCACAUAUGAAAAACAUAUAAAUAAAUUAAAAAACAUUUUAUUGAAUAAAGUGAAAUGAAGACUCUGCAAUUAAUUUCGGAAUAAUUAAGUAAUAAAAAAUAUUGGCAGUAAUAAAAA